rnacentral:rRNA from 1 species
UGAGGAAUAUUGGUCAAUGGGCGCGAGCCUGAACCAGCCAAGUAGCGUGCAGGACGACGGCCCUAUGGGUUGUAAACUGCUUUUAUACGGGGAUAAAGUAUGCCACGUGUGGUUUAUUGCAGGUACCGUAUGAAUAAGGACCGGCUAAUUCCGUGCCAGCAGCCGCGGUAAUACGGAAGGUCCGGGCGUAUCGAUUAUUGGUUAAGGAGCGUAGCCGGGUUUAAGCGUGCCGUGAAAUGUCGGGGCUCAACCUUGACACUGCGGCGCGAACUGGAGUCCUUGAGUGCGCGGAACGUAUGCGGAAUUCGUGGUGUAGCGGUGAAAUGCUUAGAUAUCACGAAGAACCCCGAUUGCGAAGGCAGCAUACGGCAGCGCUACUGACGCUGAAGCUCGAAGGCGCGGUAUCGAACAGGAUUAGAUACC